rnacentral:lncRNA from 1 species
AUGGAGGCGUCGCUCAGGUGCUUGGUGGAGUCGAAGGAAACCUGCGGGCGGGCGGGGGGCGGCACACAGCACGGUUCGCCACGCGCGGGAGCGGGCCGGACCGGACGGCGGCCGGCUGGGUUGGGCCGCGCCGCACGCAGCGCGCUCGCUCCGCGGAGCCCUGCCGGGGAGCGAGCGCGGGUCUCGGCCGGCGUGUGGGCCCGGGCGCCCGCGGACGCCCCCGACGGCACACGCUCCCUUCGCGGCCGGGGACUGAGCUUCCCGGCGAAGCCGCAACCUGACCCGGACGCGACCCGGCCUCAGCGAUUACGUGAAAACACAAAGUCGCCCUGUGACGACGGGGGGGAUCUCGCAUCGUGCCGGCGGGAUCCCACCGCGCGCUCUGACCGAGGCCGCCACGGCGCGUCUGCCUCCGCUAACGAGGACGGCCGGCGCUCGCAGGGGCACGCGGCCCCCGGGUCGUCCAGGAGGAGGCCGACCCCAGUGCGAGUUGGCGGCGGCACAGGGGACCCUCGGCCCCGGGUGACGGGGACGCUGGGGAGGCCCGCGGCCCCGCUGGGGCGCGGUUUCGGGGUGCUUCUAUGGCGAGGGUCUCCGCCUGGCACCCCAUCCCCCACACGGAAAUGCUCUCACAUCCGCGUCCGGACGCGGGUGUGUCCAGGGCCGAGUGCGUCUGGCCGCUGGUUUCAACGCACCUGCGCUAGCCGGGCCUGCGGCCGCCCAGCCGGAGAGCCACCUGCGUGCAUGCGUGCGCGCGCACGGCCACGAGACAGGCCCCGGGGGCCCGCACACGGGACAGGGCGGGGCGGGGCGGGCGCUCACCUUGAUGUUGCAGGCCACCGCCUUGCCGUCCUCGCCCUUGUACAUGAGCUUCAUGCCGCGCAGGGCGCUCAUGGCCUGGAUGAAGCCCACGUACUCGCGGUACUGCACGUACGCCUCGAAGUUCAGGUGGCCCCCGAAACUGAAGGUGUGGAAGUUGCGGCCGGUCAUCUCCUCGCGGUAGGGGUCCAGCAUGGGGAUGUCCACGUUGCGGAUCGCCCCGAACUUCUCGAACACCUUCACCAGCACCUCCUCGCUGGGCUUCUCGGAGCCCGAGUCCUUGAGCGCGAACCACUUUGCAGGGCAGGCCCUCCACGUGGAUGGUGUCGGGCCGCUCGCCCGGCAGCGUCUCGUUCAUGUCCUUGGCGUCGCGGAAGAAGGAGUCCCAGUCGUGGCGCGUGGGGAAGUCGAUCCUGA